rnacentral:rRNA from 1 species
CAACUCGACUACAUGAAGCUGGAAUCGCUAGUAAUCGCAGAUCAGAAUGCUGCGGUGAAUACGUUCCCGGGUCUUGUACACACCGCCCGUCACACCAUGGGAGUCGGGAAUGCCCGAAGUCAGUGACCCAACCGCAAGGAGGGAGCUGCCGAAGGCAGGCUCGAUAACUGGGGUGAAGUCGUAACAAGGUAUC